AGCUAUAACAGCGGCUUAAUUUCGACUUAAGUAGUGGGUUAAGUAGUGAAGUUC
rnacentral:tRNA from 1 species